CAGCAGCCGCGGGAAUACGUAGGGUGCAAGCGUUAAUCGGAAUUACUGGGCGUAAAGCGUGCGUAGGCGGUUUGUUAAGUCUGUUGUGAAAUCCCCGGGCUCAACCUGGGAAUGGCAAUGGAUACUGGCAAGCUAGAGUGUGUCAGAGGAUGGUGGAAUUCCCGGUGUAGCGGUGAAAUGCGUAGAGAUCGGGAGGAACAUCAGUGGCGAAGGCGGCCAUCUGGGACAACACUGACGCUGAGGCACGAAAGCGUGGGGAGCAAACAGGAUUAGAGACCCCUGUAGUCCCUGUCUCUUAUAA
rnacentral:rRNA from 1 species